rnacentral:misc_RNA from 1 species
AGCAGCCGCGGUAAUUCCAGCUCCAAUAGCGUAUAUUAAAGUUGUUGCAGUUAAAAGCUCGUAGUUGAAUUUCGGGAUCAAUAUGUUGGUCGUGCCUCGGUACGUACUAGCAUAUUGGUUUCUCCUUUCUGAAGAACCAUGAUGUCAUUUAUUUGGUGUCGUGGGGAAUCAGGACUGUUACUUUGAAAAAUUAGAGUGUUUAAAGCAGGCUCACGCUUGAAUACAUUAGCAUGGAAUAAUGAAAUAGGACGUUUGAUUCUAUUUUGUUGGUUUCUAGGAUCGACGUAAUGAUUAAUAGGGAUAGUUGGGGGCAUUAGUAUUCAAUUGUCAGAGGUGAAAUUCUUGGAUUUAUUGAAGACUAACUACUGCGAAAGCAUUUGCCAAGGAUGUUUUCAUUAAUCAAGACGAAAGUUAGGGGAUCGAAGACGAUCAGAUACCGUCGUAGUCUUAACCAUAAACUAUGCCGACUAGGGAUCGGAUGAUGUUAAUUUUUAAUGUACUCAUUCC